rnacentral:rRNA from 1 species
GUGAGGAAUUUUCCGCAAUGGGCGAAAGCCUGACGGAGCAAUGCCGCGUGAAGGAUGAAGGCCUAUGGGUUGUAAACUUCUUUUCUCAGAAAAGAAUUAUGACGGUAUCUGAGGAAUAAGCAUCGGCUAACUCUGUGCCAGCAGCCGCGGUAAGACAGAGGAUGCAAGCGUUAUCCGGAAUGAUUGGGCGUAAAGCGUCUAUAGGUUGUUUAAAAAGUAUUCUGUCAAAGAUUAGGGCUUAACCCUAGAUAGGCAGAAUAAACUUUUAAGCUAGAGUUUGGUAGAGGCAGAGGGAAUUCCCGGUGGAGCGGUGAAAUGCGUAGAUAUCGGGAGGAACACCAAAGGCGAAGGCACUCUGCUGGGCCAAUACUAACACUGAGAGACGAAAGCGAGGGGAGCAAAUGGGAUUAGAAACCCGAGUAGUCC